CCUACGGGAGGCAGCAGUGAGGAAUAUUGGUCAAUGGACGCAAGUCUGAACCAGCCAUGCCGCGUGCAGGAAGACGGCUCUAUGAGUUGUAAACUGCUUUUGUACGAGGGUAAACGCAGAUACGCGUAUCUGUCUGAAAGUAUCGUACGAAUAAGGAUCGGCUAACUCCGUGCCAGCAGCCGCGGUAAUACGGAGGAUUCAAGCGUUAUCCGGAUUUAUUGGGUUUAAAGGGUGCGUAGGCGGUCGGAUAAGUUAGAGGUGAAAUCCCGAGGCUCAACUUCGGAAAUGCCUCUGAUACUGUUCGGCGAGAGAGUAGUUGCGGUAGGCGGAAUGUAUGGUGUAGCGGUGAAAUGCUUAGAGAUCAUACAGAACACCGAUUGCGAAGGCAGCUUACCAAGCUACUUCUGACGUUGAGGCACGAAAGCGUGGGGAGCAAACAGGAUUAGAUACCCUAGUAGUC
rnacentral:rRNA from 1 species